rnacentral:rRNA from 1 species
GAGUUCAUAUCGACGGCGGUGUUUGGCACCUCGAUGUCGGCUCAUCACAUCCUGGGGCUGUAGCCGGUCCCAAGGGUAUGGCUGUUCGCCAUUUAAAGUGGUACGCGAGCUGGGUUCAGAACGUCGUGAGACAGUUCGGUCCCUAUCUGCCAUGGGCGUUGGAGAUUUGAGGUGGGCUGCUCCUAGUACGAGAGGACCGGAGUGGACGUACCGCUGGUGUUCGGGUUGUCUCGCCAGAGGCAUUGCCCGGUAGCUACGUACGGAAGCGAUAACCGCUGAAAGCAUCUAAGCGGGAAGCGCGCACCAAGAUGAGAUCUCCCGGGGCUUCGAGCCCCCUGAAGGACCCUCGAAGACCACGAGGUUGAUAGGCGCGGUGUGGAAGUGCAGCAAUGCAUUGAGCUAACGCGUACUAAUGAUCCGAGCGGCUUGACCAU